rnacentral:rRNA from 1 species
GUGGGGAAUAUUGGACAAUGGGCGAAAGCCUGAUCCAGCCAUGCCGCGUGUGUGAAGAAGGUCUUCGGAUUGUAAAGCACUUUAAGUUGGGAGGAAGGGCAUUAACCUAAUACGUUAGUGUUUUGACGUUACCAACAGAAUAAGCACCGGCUAACUUCGUGCCAGCAGCCGCGGUAAUACGAAGGGUGCAAGCGUUAAUCGGACUUACUGGGCGUAAAGCGCGCGUAGGUGGUUCAGCAAGUUGAAGGUGAAAUCCCCGGGCUCAACCUGGGAACUGCCUCCAAAACUACUGAGAUAGAGUACGGUAGAGGGUAGUGGAAUUUCCUGUGUAGCGGUGAAAUGCGUAGAUAUAGGAAGGAACACCAGUGGCGAAGGCGACUACCUGGACUGAUACUGACACUGAGGUGCGAAAGCGUGGGGAGCAAACAGGAUUAGAAACCCCUGUAGUCC